UCAGCAUGCCUUAGGGUGGGAUGCACAUCUUUAGACAGAGUGGUUUAAGGCUGAGGCCUUAUUUUUGAGACAGGGAUUCUCACUUGCUGAUGCAGCAAGGCUG
rnacentral:miRNA from 1 species